GAUGAACGCUGGCGGCGUGCCUAAUACAUGCAAGUCGAGCGAAUUGAUUAAGAGCUUGCUCUUAUGAAGUUAGCGGCGGACGGGUGAGUAACACGUGGGUAACCUGCCCAUGAGACUGGGAUAACUCCGGGAAACCGGGGCUAAUACCGGAUAACAUUUUGAACCGCAUGGUUCGAAAUUGAAAGGCGGCUUCGGCUGUCACUUAUGGAUGGACCCGCGUCGCAUUAGCUAGUUGGUGAGGUAACGGCCCACCAAGGCAACGAUGCGUAGCCGACCUGAAAGGGGAAUCGGCCACACUGAGACUGCGACACGACACAGACUCCUACGGGAGGCAGCAGUAGGGAAUCUUCCGCAAUGGACGAAAGUCUGACGGAGCAACGCCGCGUGAGUGAUGAAGGCUUUCGGGUCGUAAAACUCUGUUGUUAGGGAAGAACAAGUGCUAGUUGAAUAAGCUGGCACCUUGACGGUACCUAACCAGAAAGCCACGGCUAACUACGUGCCAGCAGCCGCAGUAA
rnacentral:rRNA from 1 species